rnacentral:rRNA from 1 species
CGCACCUUGCGCUCCUUGGUAUUCCUCGGAGCAUGCCUGUUUGAGUAUCAUGAAAUUCUCAAAAUAAAUCUUUUGUUCAUUCGAUUGAUUUUAUUUUGGACUUGGAGGUCUUGCAGAUUCACGUCUGCUCCUCUUAAAUUCAUUAGCUGGAUCUCGAUGAGCUCGGUUCCACUCGGCGUGAUAAGUAUCACUCGCUGAGGACACUGUAAAAGGUGGCCGGGAAUAUCUAUGAACCGCUUCUAAUAGUCCAUUGACUUGGACAAAAAUUACUUUAUGAUCUGAUCUCAAAUCAGGUAGGACUACCCGCUGAACUUAA